UACGAAGGGGGCUAGCGUUGCUCGGAAUUACUGGGCGUAAAGCGCGCGCAGGCGGUUCUUCAAGUCAGUGGUGAAAGCCCGGAGCUCAACUCCGGAACUGCCAUUGAAACUGUUGAACUUGAGUACGAGAGAGGUGAGUGGAAUUCCCAGUGUAGAGGUGAAAUUCGUAGAUAUUAGGAAGAACACCAGUGGCGAAGGCGGCUCACUGGUCCGGUACUGACGCUGAGGCGCGAAAGCGUGGGGAGCAAACAGG
rnacentral:rRNA from 1 species